AUUGAACGCUGGCGGCAGGCUUAACACAUGCAAGUCGAGCGAGCGGCGGACGGGUGAGUAAUGUAUGGGGACUGCCCGAUAGAGGGGGAUAACCACUGGAAACGGUGUCUAAUACCGCAUAUUAUCGGACAUCCCAUAUGGGAUUAGCUAGUGGGUGGGGUAAAGGCUCACCAAGGCGACGAUCUCUAGCUGGUCUGAGAGGAUGAGCGGCCACACUGGGACUGAGACACGGCCCAGACUCCUACGGAGGCAGCAGUAGGGAAUAUUGCACAAUGGGCGCAAGCCUGAUACAGCCAUGCCGCGUGAAUGAAGAAGGCCUUAGGGUUGUAAAGUACUUUCAGCGGGGAGGCGUUACCCGCAGAGGAAGCACCGGCUAACUACGUGCCAGCAGCCGCGGUAAUAC
rnacentral:rRNA from 1 species